UGGGGAAUAUUGGACAAUGGGGGCAACCCUGAUCCAGCAAUGCCGCGUGUGUGAAGAAGGUCUUCGGAUUGUAAAGCACUUUCGACGGGGACGAUGAUGAUGGUACCCGUAGAAGAAGCCCCGGCUAACUUCGUGCCAGCAGCCGCGGUAAUACGAAGGGGGCUAGCGUUGCUCGGAAUGACUGGGCGUAAAGGGCGUGUAGGCGGUUUACACAGUCAGAUGUGAAAUCCCCGGGCUUAACCUGGGAGCUGCAUUUGAUACGUGUAGACUAGAGUGUGAGAGAGGGUUUGUGGAAUUCCCAGUGUAGAGGUGAAAUUCG
rnacentral:rRNA from 1 species